rnacentral:rRNA from 1 species
CGAGAAGGUACCUUCGGGUACUGGAGAGUGGCGCACGGGUGAGUAACGCGUGGGGACCUACCUCUUAGUGGGGGAUAACGGUUGGAAACGACCGCUAAUACCGCAUACGCCCUUCGGGGGAAAGAUUUAUCGCUAAGAGAUGGACCCGCGUUGGAUUAGAUAGUUGGUGAGGUAACGGCUCACCAAGUCAGCGAUCCAUAGCUGGUUUGAGAGGAUGAUCAGCCACACUGGGACUGAGACACGGCCCAGACUCCUACGGGAGGCAGCAGUGGGGAAUAUUGGACAAUGGGGGCAACCCUGAUCCAGCCAUGCCGCGUGAGUGAAGAAGGCCUUCGGGUUGUAAAGCUCUUUCAGAUGCGAAGAUGAUGACGGUAACAUCAGAAGAAGCCCCGGCUAAUUUCGUGCCAGCAGCCGCGGUAAUACGAAAGGGGCUAGCGUUGUUCGGAUUUACUGGGCGUAAAGGGCACGCAGGCGGUCUUGCCAGUCAGGGGUGAAAGCCCGAGGCUCAACCUCGGAACUGCCUCUGAUACUGUAAGACUUGAGACUAGGAGAGGGUGGUGGAAUUCCCAGUGUAGAGGUGAAAUUCGUAGAUAUUGGGAGGAACACCAGAGG